rnacentral:rRNA from 1 species
GACGAACGCUGGCGGCGUGCUUAACACAUGCAAGUCGAACGGAAAGGCCCUGCUUUUGUGCGAUGCUCGAGUGGCGAACAGGUGAGUAUCACGUGAGUGACCUGCCCUUUUCUUUGGGGUACCUUCAGGAAACUGGAACUCAUACACGGUAUAAACUCCUGCUACAUAGUUUGGAUUGUAGAAUGUCGGCGGUUGGGGAUGGACUCGCGGCUUAUCAGCUUGUUGGUGAGGUAGUGACUUACCAAGGCUUUGACGGGUAGCCGGCCUGAGAGGGUGACCGGCCACAUUGGGAUAGAGAUACGGCCCAGACGGCUACGGGAGGCAGCAGUGGGGAACAGUGCACAAUGGGCGGAAGCCUGAUGCAGCAACGCCGCGUGCGGGAUGACGGCCUUCGGGGUGGAACCCGCGUUAGCCUGUGACGAAGCGUGAGUGACGGUAAUGGGCAAAGAAGCACCGGCUAACUACGUG